rnacentral:rRNA from 1 species
GAUGAACGCUAGCUGCAGGCUUAACACAUGCAAGUCGAGCGGUAUUUAUCUUCGUCUAGAGAUACCGGCGCACGGGUGCGUAACGCGUCUGCACUCUACCUUUUACAUAGGGAUAGCCCAGAGAAAUUUUGCUUAAUACCUCAUAGUCUAUAGACUCGGCAUCGAGAUUAUAUUAAAGUCACAACGGUACAAGAUGAGCCUGCGUCCCAUUAGCUAGUUGGUAAGGUAACGGCUUACCAAGGCUACGAUGGGGAGGGGUCCUGAGAGGGAGAUCCUCCACACUGGUACUAAGACAGGGACCAGACGAGUACGGGAGGGAGCAGUGAGGAAUAGUGGACAAUGGGCGCAAGCCUGAUCCAGGCAGGCCGCGUGCAGGAUGACGGUGCUAUGGAUUGUAAACUGCUGUUAUACGAGAAGAAACACUGCUAAGUGUAGAAGCUUGACGGUAUCGUAAGAAGAAGGACAGGCUAACUCCGUG